GGACUAGAAGCUGAGAAGACCACUCCCUCCAAGGUUUCCCAGGCUCUCAGAAAUCAAAAAUCAGGAUCCAGAUGGCUGAGGGUAGAAGCCCCAAGUCAGAGGACCUGGACUGGGGACAGAGGAUUACAGUUCAGCGGGAAGCACUCAGCCCGGACUCUAGGAGACCAGUACUGACUCAGCCGAGGCCACGAGGCCACGCCAGCAGCUGAGAGGAUAAGGGAUGAGGAAACAGUGACGUACAUGGAGGGGAAG
rnacentral:lncRNA from 1 species